rnacentral:rRNA from 1 species
UACGAAGGGGGCUAGCGUUGUUCGGAAUUACUGGGCGUAAAGCGCACGUAGGCGGACUAUUAAGUCAGGGGUGAAAUCCCGGGGCUCAACCCCGGAACUGCCUUUGAUACUGGUAGUCUCGAGUCCGGAAGAGGUGAGUGGAAUUCCGAGUGUAGAGGUGAAAUUCGUAGAUAUUCGGAGGAACACCAGUGGCGAAGGCGGCUCACUGGUCCGGUACUGACGCUGAGGUGCGAAAGCGUGGGAGCAAACAGGG